CGACGGGUAGCCGGCCUGAGAGGGUGACCGGCCACACUGGGACUGAGACACGGCCCAGACUCCUACGGGAGGCAGCAGUGGGGAAUAUUGCACAAUGGGCGCAAGCCUGAUGCAGCAACGCCGCGUGAGGGACGACGGCCUUCGGGUUGUAAACCUCUUUUAGUAGGGAAGAAGCGAAAGUGACGGUACCUGCAGAAAAAGCACCGGCUAACUACGUGCCAGCAGCCGCGGUAAUACGUAGGGUGCGAGCGUUGUCCGGAAUUAUUGGGCGUAAAGAGCUCGUAGGCGGUUUGUCGCGUCUUCUGUGAAAACCCGAGGCUCAACCUCGGGCCUGCAGUGGGUACGGGCAGACUAGAGUGCGGUAGGGGAGAAUGGAAUUCCUGGUGUAGCGGUGGAAUGCGCAGAUAUCAGGAGGAACACCGAUGGCGAAGGCAGUUCUCUGGGCCGUAACUGACGCUGAGGAGCGAAAGCGUGGGGAGCGAACAGGAUUAGAUACCCUGGUAGUCCACGCCGUA
rnacentral:rRNA from 1 species